CAUAUGCAAAUACAGAAGUAAUCCACAAUACCUCAUUUUAUCUAGAGACUCCACCCAGGUGGUAGGCUUUGUAUCACCUGAAAGAUAUCCUAGUUCUGAUAAUCAGGACAGAAAAUCAGAAUACAUUAACUCAAAAAAAAACUCAACCUGCAGUGAACUGUGAGAUUAGAACUCCUGCUAUGGUGUGGAUGUCUACCCAACCAUUUUCAUGGAAAGUACGUUAGAAGGCAUUACAGACAAAAUUUGCAUCAAGAACUAGCAUCUAGUCAAGCCAAAAGUACCAAUCCUUUGUUUAGUAACCAACAUUAAAGAGAACUGAAGAAAAAAGCUCCUCAAGAGCAGAGCCAAGUGAGCUUUCCAGACAAAGCCCUCGGAGCUCUCUGCUUGUUCCCUUCCACAGGAAGAACUGGCAUUUUACUACUCCUACCUCAUAACCGGGGUAAAGAUGGCUUUGGUUUUGCCACAGGGUCUAUGGAUGUACAGUGAUGAGACAAGCAAUGGCAUCAAGAACUUAUUGACAGCAGAAAAGACAUGCAAGCACUGGAAUCUUCUAUUCAUCUGAGGUGUACUUGGAAGACCUAAGGAAGGAAGAACUCCCACCUUUUCUGGAAAUACAGUUUGCUGACUGGGCCAGCAGAUUGCAAAAGCUGGUACUAGCUACUUGAGAUGACCCCCAAUACCAUUGAUACACACUACAGAAGAAGAAAGCAAAGGAAAAAUGAGACUUAAUUAGAAAAGAAACAAAGAAUAUACAACAAGACUUUCAGACAAAAUACAACAAAAUAGAUAUGCUACAGUUAAUCAUGUCUAUAUUGCAGUCAGUGCUAUGUAGCAGAGAGAUAAGCCAGCCAAUCUUCAUCUGGCUUGGAUUUCAGUAGUCAAUCAGUUGUGACAGCACAGAGCUCACCACAGGCUAAUUCAUGUAUAAAUAACUUCUGUGACUGUAGUUUAAAUAUAUACAGGCUUACUUGAGUAUGCAUUGCCUCUCCUGUUUCCUGAGAGAGAAGUCACUCUCCACAUAGUUUUGCUGUUUUAUGGCAUGGUUAACCUAAAGCGGUGAGUUCCUAGCUUCCUGAAUGGCAUAUAGUUUAUAAUAUUUGUUUCAAUGAGCAUUUUUCAAAGCCAUACAAAACAAAACAAAACAAGCAAUAUUCUUUUUGCUUUCUGAAGACUUUGGAUAGAUAGCUUUAAUUUUUCUAGCAAAGUUGUGCCCCUUUCAGUGAGACUACUCUCAGCCAGGAAGAAGGCAGUCUAAGUGCUCUGUGAAGACAAUGAUUGUCUCUCUCUCUUUCUAAGUAUUGAUUUAAAGUGUCAGGCAUUCUCUAGGUUACAGCAAAUUGUUCAUGCUACAGUCAGGCUGAAGAGACAAAUAUGUGAAAAAUGAAUCAUAACACAUAUAAAUUUUUGAGAAUUUGAGCAUUCUACUGCAUUGGUCAGUUUCUAUGACCAUACAGUAUAACAAUACUACUCACUUUGACACAAAAAUAUUGAUAAAAAUAUCAGUUUCUCUACAAUAAAACUAUUUCAAAGUUAGGUUAUAUAAAAAUGUUCUUAUAUAUUCUGUGCAGCAUACACACAAAAUUGAGAAGCUUGCCUUCUGCAUUCUUUGGAAUGAGAGAAAUAAAAACAAUCAGCUCUUAGAUUCAAGCUUUGUGAAUGUCAAGAACCU